CCUACGGGUGGCUGCAGUCGAGAAUUUUUGGCAAUGGGCGAAAGCCUGACCAAGCGAUGCCGCGUGCGGGAUGAAGGCCUUCGGGUUGUAAACCGCUGUCAGUGGGGAGAAAAGGACGGGAGGUUCUCCUUCCGUUUUGAUCUAUCCGCAGAGGAAGUGUGGGCUAAGCUCGUGCCAGCAGCCGCGGUAAGACGAGCCACACAAACGUUAUUCGGAAUUACUGGGCUUAAAGGGUGCGUAGGCGGUGCGGAAAGUUGGGUGUGAAAUACCUCGGCUCAACCGAGGAACUGCGCCCAAAACUACCGCACUUGAGGAAGAUAGAGGUGAGCGGAACUUACGGUGGAGCGGUGAAAUGCGUUGAUAUCGUAAGGAACACCCGUGGCGAAAGCGGCUCACUGGGUCUUUUCUGACGCUGAUGCACGAAAGCUAGGGGAGCAAACGGGAUUAGAUACCCCAGUAGUC
rnacentral:rRNA from 1 species